rnacentral:lncRNA from 1 species
GAAAAGCAAGAAAAAUAUCACAAAAACUGUUACUCUCAGUUUCACAUUCUCGUUUGUCGGACAGUUUCAUUUAGAAUGGAGAGUUUUCUUUAGGUUCCAUUCUAAACAACACUGUCUGACGAACGGGAGCAUGAAACUCUGAGUAACAAUUUUAGUGAUUUUUUGCUGCUUAUAAAGCAUGUUACUCUACCUGGUAUUCGAGUACUAUUUUUUCCACCUUGUUUCACAUUUACGUGCUUACUUCGGUAUAUAUAUAUGUAUGUAUAUAUAUA